rnacentral:lncRNA from 1 species
AAAGAGAACUCCAAAUAACAACACAAGCUUAGCUUUUGCUUUAGAAGUUUCUAGAAUUUAGUUGAUGCUAUUGGAGCUAUCAUGAACUGAUACAGUCCCCGUGGGGAGUGACUGUAUGAGCUCGAACUGGACUUGGACAUUUCUCCAGCCCUCUGUGGUUCCAGUUGAGAAAAAUCCAGUCCUUCCAUGAGACCUCGGUACACACAGAACUCCUCCUACCACGUGCAACCUUAUUCUCGGCUGAGCAACUCAUAAAUCGCAUAACAAAAACAGUGAUUGAUGCGGACUGUGUUUAGUGCCAUCCUUGCCGGUGAGAGGGAGUGAGCCAGCAAGCUUCCUUAAAUCUCUUUAGUUCUCCAAAAGGAGAGGCCAUUUGCCUUCUCAUCUAUGCCGCAAGUUUCUGGGGCUUGCAUCAUUAACCUGGUGGCUUUGCCAAUUCCUUCGCCAGUGCUGGGUCAAAGACAGGCAAGGGCACCAGGGUUAGCCAUGAGUGUGUGCCAG